GAUGAACGCUGGCGGCGUGCUUAACACAUGCAAGUCGAACGAUGAAGCCCAGCUUGCUGGGUGGAUUAGUGGCGAACGGGUGAGUAACACGUGAGUAACCUGCCCUUAACUCUGGGAUAAGCCUGGGAAACUGGGUCUAAUACCGGAUAGGAGCGUCCACCGCAUGGUGGGUGUUGGAAAGAUUUAUCGGUUUUGGAUGGGCUCGCGGCCUAUCAGCUUGUUGGUGAGGUAAUGGCUCACCAAGGCGACGACGGGUAGCCGGCCUGAGAGGGUGACCGGCCACACUGGGACUGAGACACGGCCCAGACUCCUACGGGAGGCAGCAGUGGGGAAUAUUGCACAAUGGGCGCAAGCCUGAUGCAGCGACGCCGCGUGAGGGAUGACGGCCUUCGGGCUGUAAACCUCUUUCAGUAGGGAAGAAGCGAAAGUGACGGUACCUGCAGAAGAAGCACCGGCUAACUACGUG
rnacentral:rRNA from 1 species